rnacentral:rRNA from 1 species
UACGUAGGGGGCAAGCGUUGUCCGGAAUCAUUGGGCGUAAAGAGCGCGUAGGCGGCCCAGUAAGUCCGCUCUGAAAGUCAGAGGCUCAACCUCUGGAUGCGGGUGGAUACUGCUGGGCUAGAGUCCGGAAGAGGCGAGUGGAAUUCCUGGUGUAGCGGUGAAAUGCGCAGAUAUCAGGAGGAACACCAAUGGCGAAGGCAGCUCGCUGGGACGGUUACUGACGCUGAGACGCGAAAGCGUGGGGAGCAAACAGG